AAAUCACACUCACUAUGCAUACACAUCCUUUCUUAUCUACCUUUGUUUUGCAUGCAAACGUACAACCUGACACCCUCUUCCACACCAUGUGUGUGCACCCUCACACACAGGUGUACUUCAGCUCUAACUAGGAUGCACCUUGGACAAGUCUGCAUUUUGCUGCAUUGCUCUGUGUACGUGUACUUCAUAGAUAGUUCAAACAUCACUGCUUCCUAAUGAGUGCUCUGGACCAUCCCAGUUCAAAGCCCACAUGACUGUGUGUGCCAUGGAGGACAUUUGCCAUGAUACCGGUGAUUCCUGAGAGUGGAUAAGAAUACCCACGUGGGGCAGCACCAUUGAGAAGUCUGACCUGCUGCUGGUGGGUGACUGUGGCCAUUGCUUGUCAAUUUUACUGAGGGACAACACAUUACUGUUUUGACUCAGCUCGGACUAUCCUGGAUGGCAAGCAGCCAGUCAGAGCUGAGCACUACUCUUGAAAUGUCCUGGUUGGUGCUGGCCAGCCAGGGCUUCCAAGUUGUGCAUGGGAAGGUUCCAUUUCUGCACGCUUACGUGUGGUUUCCCUAUAAACUCAGAUACCCGAGAGAGUCGAGUGGAGUCCUAGUAGCUUCAUCUUGUCAUCCCUGGUCCUGGUAAUGCUGAGAUGGAGAGGAAAACCCAGGUGGCUCCUGGGGGAAGGUACAGUCUGUCAAUGAAAGAAGGGUAGGAGUCAGGUGCUUCUGAGCUUCAAGGAGAGGCCCAGCAGGAGGACUGGGAGAGAAGAGCAGCAACCUAUCUUUCUCAGCAGGGAUGGGGAGCCCCUUGUAACUAGCUUGUGGGUAACUAGCUUGGCGUUAGCUGGUGACCUGGGCCAAGCUGUGGAUUUGAAGGCAACACUCAUUGGAGGAUACCCAUCUCACGAUAACUCAGCCUUUGUGAAGGAGGCUCCUUCCUCUUCCUUGCCUUGCACGCUCCCUGUUGUCUUAAUGUUUUAGCUUGAGUGUCCUCCCUCCUAACAUCCCCAUUGCCUUCCUUACAGCGUAGCAUAUACCUUAGUCUCUUCCAUGGUCUGUUGAGUGCCUGUCUCCCCGUUGGGUACUGAAGUGCUUGAUGGCUCGGAAGCUCGACUUUUUACCCUUCUUUUCCUCAGCGCCAGAGUGAAGCACACAGGAAGUGCUCAAAGCUGGAUGAAAUUGUGUGUUCUAGAGCAGUCGCUCUAUCUUGACCUGCUUUUAAACAGCGUAUUAACAGGAACUUGGGACAUCGAAAUCUUAGCUACUGUUGAUGCCCAUUAAGUAGGUCAUGGGACCAAGCCCCCCUCAGUUAUAUUGGCUAUCAGUGCAGUUCUAAACUUAGAAUGACAAGAUUUUACCUAUUUCAUCAAUAACAAAGAGUUAGUUGGCUGUCUCCUAGUUCCUUCCUGACCUGGAGGCCUCUCACUUGUACUUUGCUAAGGUCCCAGAAAUCGGCGAACAACCAUGUUUAGAGGAAUAAUGGUAAUCCAGGAACAAUAAUUUUUUUUUUACAUUUAUUUAAUUUUCAUUUUGUGUGUAUGGAUGUGGGCACGUGCAUGGCAUAUUGUGCAGAUGGAGGUCAAAGGACAUCUUUUGGGAGUCUCUCCCAUCUCCUAUAUGAGUCCUGAGAAUUGAACUCAGGUUGUGAAUGCCUUUCUCCAAUAGGAGGUGAUGGAGCUCAUUUGGCUUGAGCCAGAGUUCAGGGAUUUUGGGGAGGGGGAGAGAAGAAGAGAGGGAGAGAGAGAAAGAGAGAGACAGAGACAGACAGAGAGAGAGAGAGAGAAAGAGAGACACAGAGAG
rnacentral:lncRNA from 1 species